rnacentral:snRNA from 1 species
UCUUGAAUUAUUGUUCAUACUCA